rnacentral:rRNA from 1 species
GAUGAACGCUGGCGGCGUGCCUAAUACAUGCAAGUAGAACGCUGAAGCUUGGUGCUUGCACCGAGCGGAUGAGUUGCGAACGGGUGAGUAACGCGUAGGUAACCUGCCUCUUAGCGGGGGAUAACUAUUGGAAACGAUAGCUAAUACCGCAUAAAAGUCGAUAUCGCAUGAUAUUGAUUUGAAAGGUGCAAAUGCAACACUAAGAGAUGGACCUGCGUUGUAUUAGCUAGUUGGUGAGGUAACGGCUCACCAAGGCGACGAUACAUAGCCGACCUGAGAGGGUGAUCGGCCACACUGGGACUGAGACACGGCCCAGACUCCUACGGGAGGCAGCAGUAGGGAAUCUUCGGCAAUGGGGGCAACCCUGACCGAGCAACGCCGCGUGAGUGAAGAAGGUUUUCGGAUCGUAAAGCUCUGUUGUAAGAGAAGAACGAGUGUGAGAGUGGAAAGUUCACACUGUGACGGUAACUUACCAGAAAGGGACGGCUAACUACGUG